UACAGAGACUGCAAGCGUUAUUCGGAUUCACUGGGCGUAAAGGGUGCGCAGGCGGUCGGGUGUGUCAGAUGUGAAAUCCCGAGGCUCAACCUCGGAACUGCGUCUGAAACUACUCGACUAGAGUACUGGAGAGGGUAACGGAAUUCACGGUGUAGCAGUGAAAUGCGUAGAUAUCGUGAGGAACACCAGAGGCGAAGGCGGUUACCUGGACAGUUACUGACGCUCAGGCACGAAAGCGUGGGGAGCAAACAGG
rnacentral:rRNA from 1 species